UACGUAGGGUGCGAGCGUUAAUCGGAAUUACUGGGCGUAAAGCGCGCGUAGGUGGUUAUGUAAGACAGAUGUGAAAUCCCCGGGCUCAACCUGGGAACUGCGUUUGUGACUGUAGGGCUAGAGUGCGGCAGAGGGGGGUAGAAUUCCACGUGUAGCAGUGAAAUGCGUAGAGAUGUGGAGGAAUACCGAUGGCGAAGGCAGCCCCCUGGGUCGACACUGACGCUCAUGCACGAAAGCGUGGGGAGCAAACAGGAUUAGAAACCCCUGUAGU
rnacentral:rRNA from 1 species